CGGACGGGUGAGCAAUACUUAGGAAUCUGCCCAUUAGUGGGGGACAACUCGAGGAAACUCGAGCUAAUACCGCAUACGCCCUACGGGGGAAAGCGGAGGACCUUUCGGGGCUUCGCGCUAAUGGAUGAGCCUAAGUCGGAUUAGCUUGUUGGUGAGGUAAAGGCUCACCAAGGCGACGAUCCGUAGCUGGUCUGAGAGGACGAUCAGCCACACUGGGACUGAGACACGGCCCAG
rnacentral:rRNA from 1 species